AAACACUCAGUGUUAGCUAUUAUUACCAGAGGUAGUAGUCAGAGGAAAUAGGUGGGUGACUGAGCUCCAGCACCAAGGCAUAUCGCCGUGUCUUCCCUGGCUCCAUCAUUAAUCCCCGUAUGGUAGUGUGGAGGCCGAGAAAAAUUAAGGCCAUCCCACCUAAAGUUUAGCAUUAGCACAAGUACAGCCAUCUUAGGUCCCUGUGAAUAAGAGCUGAACUUUAAGGGGAAAAACUGCAGAAUGUCCUCAAUGUCCUUGGCAGGUAAUCCCAUAUCAGAAAGACAACAGAGCUCAGAAUUGCCCUCAGCAGAGAAUCCCGUAUCAGAAAUACAACAGAGCCCACGCCCGUGGUAGGAAGUCCCAUCUUAGAAUUCUUCCAUCCCUUCUGGAAAUCCCCUAGACCAGCCUAUAAAAAACCCAGCUGUAACCCACUUCGGGGUCCAAGUCCCUGCUCCGCUGUGUCGGGUAUACUUGGCCCCAAGCUCGAGCUUGCUAAUAAACCCUCGUGCGCUUGCAUCGGUGUUGGCUCCUUCGUGGUUUCUCGGAUUCGCAAUCUUGGGCACAACAGUAGACAGAGCUUUACAUCAAGGAAAACCCCUUUGUGGAGCCCCCUCGGAGCCCUGGCAUCCGAGGCACAGAUCUGUGCUUCAUGUGCUUUUCUUCCCUAAAGCCACAGACUCCUGACUUACUGAGUACCUACUGUGCUAAGUUCUGGCUGAUGAAGGGUAAUGGAAAGGAAACACUACGCCAGAGGCUGGACUCUACAGAGUUUGGAGCUCCAUACACGGCACGUGCAGACCACCACGUUCGAGUCUGCUGUCCACUGAGCCUGCUCCAAAAGCUCAUCUUUCUCCAGAGGUUCCAGAAUCGGGUCAGGAGGUGGGUGGCCGCCCUGUGACUCCGUGGCUCUGAGUCAAGCCCACUUCUUGGUGACGUUGAGAUGGUCGAGCUGGUCCCCCACGAACCUGUGCGGGGGGAACCUGGACAUGCUGACCGCCUGGAUGGCCCCGAAGGCUGCUUCCCGCUUCCCUGAGCCCCGCCUGGUGGCCGCACUGCUCUCCCUCAGAUAGGGCGGAGCUCAGCCAGGACUGGUUCUCUGCCUCCCUCCAGCCGCCCCAUCACGUUCUGCUUCGCUUGGAAGGACACGGCCCGCGGCCUGCCUGGGGUGGGACCGCGGCGGAGGAGAACGGUCAGGAACUUGGCACCUGCGGGAAGGGCAGAGCCUCACACCGACUGGUCACGCGCUCGGCCACCCGCGAGAACGCACACUGCACCCCAAAAGAAGCGGAGAUCCCAAAUGGGAUCUACAGGGAAACGAGGGGGGACUCCCAAAACAACGAGAUGUGCCAAUCAACUCACUGACCCCAUCCCCCAACAGACCCCACAGCCUCCACACACCAGCAGGCACGAUCCCCCGGACUGACGUAUUUUAAGGGAUCACCUCUGGCAUCUAUGUUGAACAUAGAUGUUGUGGCACAAGAGUGGAAGCAAGACCAGGUAAGAGGCCAUUGAAAUAUGCCCAUAAGAAAUGAUGGUAGUUUGGAUUGGAUUAUGAGCAAUUUGAAGAUAACAAGUGGUUAGAUGUGUUAAAGGAAGAGCCUACUGGAUUUGCUGGUAGGCAAAAUGAGGGUUGUAAGAAAAACAUUACUUGUGUAUAUAUGCCAGGUGCUACAUGAAACCUUUUAUAUGCAAAUCAUUCAAAGUUUGCAACAAUCACAUAAGUGAGGUUCUAUUGUGUGUGUGUGUUAAGAUUUAUGUAUUUUAGAGAGGGUGUGAACAGGGGGAGAGGCAGAGGGAGAUGGAGAGAAGCAAACUCCCCAAAGAGCAGGGAGCCUGAUGUGGGGGAGGGAGGUUCCAUCCCAGGACUCUGACAUCUGGACAAGAGCAGAAAUCAAGAG
rnacentral:lncRNA from 12 species